UACAUAGGGUGCAAGCGUUAAUCGGAAUUACUGGGCGUAAAGCGCGCGCAGGCGGUCCUUUAAGUCUGAUGUGAAAGCCCACGGCUUAACCGUGGAGGGUCAUUGGAAACUGAGGGACUUGAGUACAGAAGAGGAGAGUGGAAUUCCACGUGUAGCGGUGAAAUGCGUAGAGAUGUGGAGGAACACCAGUGGCGAAGGCGACUCUCUGGUCUGUAACUGACGCUGAGGUGCGAAAGCGUGGGGAGCAAACAGGAUUAGAUA
rnacentral:rRNA from 1 species